rnacentral:rRNA from 1 species
CCUACGGGAGGCAGCAGUCGAGAAUCAUUCACAAUGGGGGAAACCCUGAUGGUGCGACGCCGCGUGGGGGAAUGAAGGUCUUCGGAUUGUAAACCCCUGUCAUGUGGGAGCAAAUUAAAAAGAUAGUACCACACGAGGAAGAGACGGCUAACUCUGUGCCAGCAGCCGCGGUAAUACAGAGGUCUCAAGCGUUGUUCGGAAUCACUGGGCGUAAAGCGUGCGUAGGCUGUUUCGUAAGUCGUGUGUGAAAGGCGCGGGCUCAACCCGCGGACGGCACAUGAUACUGCGAGACUAGAGUAAUGGAGGGGGAACCGGAAUGCUCGGUGUAGCAGUGAAAUGCGUAGAUAUCGAGAGGAACACUCGUGGCGAAGGCGGGUUCCUGGACAUUAACUGACACUGAGGCACGAAGGCCAGGGGAGCGAAAGGGAUUAGAUACCCCAGUAGUC